GACGAACGCUGGCGGCGUGCCUAAUACAUGCAAGUCGAGCGAAUGGAUUAAGAGCUUGCUCUUAUGAAGUUAGCGGCGGACGGGUGAGUAACACGUGGGUAACCUGCCCAUAAGACUGGGAUAACUCCGGGAAACCGGGGCUAAUACCGGAUAACAUUUUGAACCGCAUGGCUCGAAAUUGAAAGGCGGCUUCGGCUGUCACUUAUGGAUGGACCCGCGUCGCAUUAGCUAGUUGGUGAGGUAACGGCUCACAAAGGCAACGAUGCGUAGCCGACCUGAGAGGGUGAUCGGCCACACUGGGACUGAGACACGGCCCAGACUCCUACGGGAGGCAGCAGUAGGGAAUCUUCCGCAAUGGACGAAAGUCUGACGGAGCAAUGCCGCGUGAGUGAUGAAGGCUUUCGGGUCGUAAAACUCUGUUGUUAGGGAAGAACAAGUGCUAGUUGAAUAAGCUGGCACCUUGACGGUACCUAACCAGAAAGCCACGGCUAACUACGUGCCAGCAGCCGCGGUAA
rnacentral:rRNA from 1 species